rnacentral:rRNA from 1 species
AUACGGAGGGGGUUAGUGUUGUUCGGAAUUACUGGGCGUAAAGCGCACGUAGGCGGAUUGGAAAGUUGGGGGUGAAAUCCCAGGGCUCAACCCUGGAACUGCCUCCAAAACUAACAGUCUAGAGUUCGAGAGAGGUGAGUGGAAUUCCAAGUGUAGAGGUGAAAUUCGUAGAUAUUUGGAGGAACACCAGUGGCGAAGGCGGCUCACUGGCUCGAUACUGACGCUGAGGUGCGAAAGCGUGGGGAGCAAACAGGAUUAGAAACCCUAGUAGUCC